rnacentral:lncRNA from 1 species
AGAAAUACCCCACAUACUUAACUAAGAUUAUGCUGUUGUUUUAUUCAAACAUUAUAGCUGUUUGAUAAAAAUUUCAGAAUCAGUUCAUUAUCCGUUGUCAUCAUUGCCCAGAAUUAAUUUGAACUAAACAUGAGAUAAAAAUUCCGUAAUCAACUAUUAUUUCAGAGAAACUUUUCAACAAUUCUUCAAACAUUUAUAGUUAUCUUCAAUCCUCCUUUCCAACACUUUAAAAUUUAAUGAAGAAGGCAUUUGACGAAUAGCUCUCUCAUAUUAUCUUUGUGGCGAUAAAACAACUCCAACUUCAGUACGUUUUCGACGAGAAUCAAGCCUGUUUGCUUCUUCUCAAUGGCAGAUAAUCCAUCUAGCUUUUCUAGUUCCUCUUGUACAUCAUUGCACUUUCUAGCUAGCUCAACCUGCAUCAGUUCCUGUUCGACGACAGUUCACUUCGUAGCGCUUCUCCCAAGUUUGCAAAAACCUCCAUGAUUGGCUUCAAUCCAUCAAGUAGCUCCUUCCGACACUCGUCAAUUUAGCCUCAGCCUCGGCAACACGAGCUGCAUGUUGUGGCUUCUUUUGAGUUUAUUAUUCGAAGGGUUCAAUUAUUGGGCGAUGAGACUGAGUUUAACCUGGCUAGCCAGUCAAUAGAAAACAGAGCAACAACAGAGAGAAGGUAACUAAAAGGAAAGAAAGAGAUAUAGGUAUACUUUUCUUAGUUAGCUCUAGCUAGCUCUCCAUCAAAUCGUGAAUCACAAAAUGGGAUUGUUGGACUUUUUCAUAUUACUUAUCGGAGUUGUUUAUCAAUGCCAAGCCAGGACAUAAGCACAGGGCAAUGCAUGUCUGUAUUUUUUUAUCUGAAUUGUGAAAAUGGACUGCGAAGGCUGUGAAAGGAGAGUCUGAAGUUUUGUACUGCACAUGAGAGGUCUAUUCUUACUUUACUUCAGAUAUCCUUUAAUUACUAACUUGUUACAUAUUGAUAUGAAUUGUUGAUAUGCACCUUGUGUUUGUAACUUAACGAUCCAGGGGCGAAGUCAGUGAAGUAUUUGAACAACAACAAAAACAACCACAUAAUGCAAGUAUUUGAACCACAGAAUGCAAUAAACUUCAACAUCCGUAAUACAACAACAAGUAAUCAAAGUAAUACCUGAAUUGAGAAAAUUCGCAGUGACAGUAGAGUUGAGAAGGAAAUUGAUUUUCUAUAGAGUUUCUUUGUUUUGAUCUCUUCUCCUCUUCCGUCAAGAGGUAAACCUUAGUGAGCUGCGGAUCCUUACAAGGGGAUGGGGAUGAUUAGGGAUAUGACAAAUGAUGGUGCACGGGGAAGGGGAUGAUUAGGGAUCUAGACUAUACCUAAUCAGCUAUCUUGGUUGACCUCGAGACUGUGGAACGGACUUCGUCGAAAUUGGAAGUGACGCCAGAGUCACGAACACCGUCGCUUCCGGCUUCAGAGAGCUACGGAGGCGAUCAGAGAUACUGUGGAAAUCAGAUGGAGCUGCGAAGGUGGAGUUCGAAUUUCUCUCGCAUCGACGGCAGCUGUGGAAAUCAGAUUGAGCUUGACAUAAUAGGGUUUCGAAGUAAUAUAUAUCAAUGGCAAUUUUGUAAUAAUAGAUACCUACAAGGGCAGCGUGUAUAUUUUUUAGAUAGAAUCUCAAAAUUCGA